CAAGGAAAUUGGUUCUCACUGAAGCAGAAAUAAGUCUGGAAAUAACCUAGUACUUUGAAAAUACUGGAGAAGCUAGCUGGGUGACUUGGCUGUCAUGUGCUGUGAGACUGAUCACCUCACCAGAAACACUGAAAGUAGUAACCUAAUCAGAAAUUGAGGCUCUUUCCUAGCAGCCUGUGUUUGGUGAG